GUCUGGAGAGGAGCCAGCCAACAAUGACAGUGCGGGUCCUUAGCACAGCUGCUCACUGAUGUCUCGUGCCUGCAUUCUGGGGGAUAGCAGCAAGGAGCUUUGGAAAUUGCAAAGAUCCAGUCGGCCCUGACACGGGUGUUCGCAGUUUAACAGCUCCCACCGCUACACACUUCAGGAAAGGUCGGGACAGAGUCGUGAGGGAGAAACGGUUCCCAUUUACAAAAGGCUGGGGACCAGAGGGCACUGCUUGGAAGUGCCUUGCCAUAGAAGUACAUUGCAGGGUGAACAGAGCUGAACACAGUGCUCCAGAAAAAGCCUCACCAACAUCCUGUGCAACCUCAAGAUGACAUCCCAACUCCUAUACUCAGUGGUCUGAGCAAUGAUUGGAAAGUGUGCCAAUGUCGUCUUAAUCACCCCUUUGACAUGUGCUGCAAGCUUCAAAGAAUUACGGACCUGAAUCCCAAAGUCUGUCUGUUCUACAGCACUGCCCAAGGCCCAACUUCUAAUUGUAUAAGCCAUACCUCUUGUUUGUUUUACUAAAAUGCAAUACCUCUUGUUUAUCCAAGUUAAACUCUAGCUGCCACUCUUCAGCCCUCACAAACAAAGACCCCACCCUACUAUGACGCUGUCUGAGAUCUGCUGCCUCACCUCUCCUCCUAUUCAUCUUUGCUAGUGUAUGGAUCAAGUAUACGGUUAAAGUUGGCUUCUAAUCUAUUGAGCCAGAGCUCCAGCUGCCCCUGGAAAGUGGGUAGAUUUGGAUGUCAAGUUGAGGGAAGGACAAACCUUACCUGUGCUGUCCUUACUGUUAUAGACACAUGUGCGUUGGACUGCCCUUCUGUGGAUUUACAUCCUGCACGAUGAAAUCAGGUCAAAGGGCUGGAUGGUGGACAAAAAAUAGAUGUUGAAAGUGCCCACAUGAGUUCUUCACUCCUCCCGAAUCAAAUCUCUGUUGGGCACUUAACCAGCAAGGUCACAGUGUCAGUUAAACUGACCUUCGGGGACCACUGUGGGAGGUCACGCCUGACAACACUGUUAGCAUUCUUUUGGGAGGAAACAGGCAAGUUAGACAAAGGAAAGACAGUUGACAUGAUAUGUUUAGAUUUCUAGAAGGUCUUUGACCAGGAGCAUCACAGGAGGCUGCUAUAUAAAAUAACAGCACAUGGUCGUAACAGUACUGGCAUGGAUAGACAGUUGUCUGACCGGCAGAAGGCAGAGAGUCGGGAUAAAGGGGCCUUUUCCAGGAUGGCAGCUGGUGACUGGUGGGAUUCCACUGUGGUCCAUGUUGGGAGCACAACUACUCCCGUUGUACAUUAACGGUCUGGAUGAAGGAACUGAGGCUGUCGUUGCUACAUUUUCUGAUGAGACAAAGUUAGGUGGAGGGACAGGUAGUGAGGAAGUGGGGAGGCUGCAGAAGGAUUUGGACAGGCCGGGAGAGCAGGCAAAGAAGUGGCAGAUGGAAUACAAUGUGGGAAUGUGUGAGGUCAUGCACUUUGGCAGGAUGAAUGGUGACAUAGACUAAUUCCUUCAUGGGGAAAGGUGCCAGAAAUCUGAAGCACAAAGGGACUUAGGAGUCCUAGUUCAGGAUUCUUUUAAGAUUAACAUGUAGGUUCAGGUGGUGGUUAGGAAGGCAAAUGAAAAGUUAGUGUUCAUUUCAAGAGGGCCAGAGUACAAGAGAAGGGGUGUACUAAAAACUGAAAGCACUGCAGAUGCUGUAAAUCAGGAACAAAAACAAAGUUUCUGGAAAAGCUCAGCAGGUUUGGCAGCAUCUGUGAAGGAGAAAACAGUUUACAGUUUGGGACCAGUGAUCCUUCCUUUGUGCUGAGCAGGGAUGUUCUGCUGAAACUGUGUAAGGCUGUGGUCUGACUGCAUUUGGAAUAUGGUGAGCAGUUUUGGGCCCCAUAUCUGAGGGGGGUGGAGUUGUCGGGGGUGGGGGCGUUUCCAGAGGAGGUUUACAAGAAUAAUCCCGGGGAUAAAGGGCUUGUCAUUUGAGGAGCAGUUGAGGAGUUUGGAUCUGUACUCAAUGGAGUUUAGAAACUUACAGAAUUGUGUGAUUCUGUCCAGUGACUGGGGUAGCAUGGGCGCUCAGUGGUUAACACUGCUGCCUCCGAUCUCCAGGGACCCAGGUUCAAUUCCAGCCUCCGGUGACUAUCUGUCUGCAUGGAGUUUGUAUGUUCUCCCUGUGUCUGUGGGGUUCCUCCCACAGUUCAAAGAUGUGUAGGUUAGGUGGAUUAACGAGGGGGAAAUGCAGAAUCACAGGGAGUGAGCAGGGAAAAUGAGUCUGGGUGGGAUCCUGGUUUGUGCCAACUUGUUGGGCUGAAUGGCCUGUUCCAACACUAUGGGGAUUCUCUCUCUUAUAUAUUUACAAAGGAAUACUGAGAGGCCCGGAUAGAGUGGACACAGAGAAGAUGUUUCCACUAGUAGGAGUGACUAGGGCCUGAGGGCACAACCUCAGAGUGAAGGGAUAAUCCUCCAGAACUGAGAUGGGGAGGAAUUUCUUCAGCCAGACGGUGGUAAAUCUGUGGAUCUCAUUGCUUCAGAAAGCUGUGGAGGCCAAGUCAUUGAGUGUAUUUAAGACAGAGAUAGAUAGGUUCCUGGUUAGUCAGCGGAUCAAGGGUUAUGGGGAGAAGGCAGGAGAAUGGGGUUGAGAAACAUAGCCAUGAUUGAAUGGUGCAGGGGCCGAGUGGCCUAAUUCCACUCCUAUGCCUUAUGGCCUUGUUUGACCAUUAGGGGUCAGUAGCAUAGUGGUAAGCCAGACGGCCUAGCCUGUUCAAGCCCCACGGUGGAAGCUGGGCACAUUUAAAUUCAGUUUAAUAAAGAAAAUCCCCUUGUUAGCAGUAACCAUGCAGUUACAGAUGAUCAUUAAAGACCCCCCUGAUUCACAGAUCCCCUAUAGGUGAGGGGACCGGCUUUCCUUUCAUGCCUACACGUGAUCCCAUCUGUCAGGAAUGGUCAAGGAAUUUUGACCAGGUGGGCAAGUGGUGCUGAGUGUUGGUAAAUGCAAUUCAAUACAGAUGUGUGUGAGGUGUUGCACUUUGGAAGUUCAAACCAAGGUAUUGUGUCAAAUCGCUGUAGCAAAUUUGCUAAGCCCCUGGAGUCGCUUAUCCCCAUGGACUGACCUUGGUGCCCAGUUAAUACCUGCCUUGCCAGAUGUAAAUCAGCCCAUCUCUGUUCCGGAAUUUUCUUUAGACUGCUGCCCACACCCCUGUCCCUACUAAAACCAUUUGAUUUUGGUUUGAAGGAACGAGGGUUUGCCACUCCCCUUGGCAUGAAGAGCUGCUCGUGGAUAUCACUGGUGAUGAUUUUAAUUUGGAAGGCUGUGCUUGUUGUAGAACCCCAAGCAACUGGAGGAACUGAUUUGCCUUCAUCUGUUCUGCGGAAUCCUUUAACCAUUUGUCAGGCCCUUGAGCAGACCACUUUUUAAUCUUCAAUAAUCAAGGGAGUAUGAUUAUUAAGUUACCAUAGCCAUACCUGAUUAUGGGGCUGCUCUCUCUUUAGAGAGAGGUGGUGGUUUAACCUGAGGGUCACCAAGCCUCAGGUGAGGGGAGAGGUUGAGGAGGAGAGUCCUUACAGUAACCUCAGUCACUGUGGGGACUGAGCCCACAUUGUUGGUGAGUGGAAAACUAGUUGAUGUAACAUGCCCACAUAAACUUAAACCCUUUUAGACCCAGUGCUGCUCUGAUGAAUCUGUGCUCACAACUCUAAAGGCUGCAUUUUCAUCUUCGAUAUAUGGUGCCAUGCAAUGUUUCG